rnacentral:rRNA from 1 species
UACGAAGGGAGCUAGCGUUGUUCGGAAUCACUGGGCGUAAAGCGCACGUAGGCGGAUGUGUCAGUCAGGGGUGAAAUCCCGGAGCUCAACUUCGGAACUGCCUUUGAUACAGCACGUCUUGAGUCCGGAAGAGGUGGGUGGAAUUCCUAGUGUAGAGGUGAAAUUCGUAGAUAUUAGGAAGAACACCGGUGGCGAAGGCGGCUCACUGGUCCGGUACUGACGCUGAGGUGCGAAAGCGUGGGGAGCAAACAGG